GAUGAUAAACAGCUUUUUUUUUCAUUUUAUUUUCUUACUAGUUUGCUUCUGAAAUUGUAUCUAGUGUCACACGGAUUCAACCAUUUUCUUGUAUUUACAGCUGUAGGGUUGAAGAACCCCCAGGUCUGGUGCAGCUUCAGAAGAAUGAAUGGGACCCUGUUCUGGAUUGGAUAGAAAAAAGUACAACGUGGUGAUAGGCUCCUCUUCAAAUAUAAUGGGACCCACAAUCCCAGAGGAGACUAAAGAUACCUUUCGACAGCACCUGGCCUCCUUCAACUUCUGGGCUUUAAUAGAUCCACCACUGGGGCAAUGUGGAGUGGGCCCAUGAAUAUGACCUGCAGGAGCUAUGCUCUCGCACUGCAGCCGGGACCCUGUUUGUGCACCUAUCUUCUGAGAGCGCCACUGUGAAACGCAAACUCCUGCAAGACUUUUGAGCUUCCCCUGCCCAGAAAACCAGGGGACUGAAACACAAACUAUAAGGACCCAGGCCCCUCACCCCCCUGUUCAGAUGUCAUUUUUUUCAUUUAAAUGUAUGUGGCCUAAAAGUAUACUGUCACAUUUAGGAGGGAUUAUAUCAACUAAACAAACUAUAUACUUUAAUAAAAGUAGUUUAGAAUUCAAAUAUAUCUAGAUCCAACAAUGCUCUGUUUUGAGAAAUGAGUCCCAAACAAAGUCAUCUGUGUAUUAAUGUCUUACAGGAUUA